rnacentral:misc_RNA from 1 species
GGUUUUGGAAGUACAUACAAGUAAAAAAUAAGCACGGAAGUGCAAAGUUGAAAUAAAUGGCAGCAGAAGCAGCCAUAACAUCUCUAUAAAACCUUGUUAAUUUCUGUCAACAAUGUGCUUCCUUGACGAUCCUGAAGCUUUAGCAGAUGGUUUACGCAGACGAUUACUUCAUGGAUGGUGGUGGCGUCGUGCGAUGCCCUAUUGUUGGACUCAUCACUUCAGUGCUGCAAUGCUGC